rnacentral:tRNA from 1 species
GGGGUUGUGGCUCAGAGGUAGAGCGCUUGCCUAGCAUGCAUGAGGCAUUGGGUUCGAUCCUCAGCACCA